GGGCGGUUAGCUCAGCUGGGAGAGCGGUGGCUUUACAAGCCAUAGGUCGCAGGUUCAAACCCUGCACCGCCCA
rnacentral:tRNA from 1 species